GCUAGAAGAUGACGAGUGGCGGACGGGUGAGUAAUGCUUGGGAACUUGCCUUUGCGAGGGGGAUAACAGUUGGAAACGACUGCUAAUACCGCAUAAUGUCUUCGGACCAAACGGGGCUUAGGCUCCGGCGCAAAGAGAGGCCCAAGUGAGAUUAGCUAGUUGGUAAGGUAACGGCUUACCAAGGCGACGAUCUCUAGCUGUUCUGAGAGGAAGAUCAGCCACACUGGGACUGAGACACGGCCCAGACUCCUACGGGAGGCAGCAGUGGGGAAUAUUGCACAAUGGGGGGAACCCUGAUGCAGCCAUGCCGCGUGUGUGAAGAAGGCCUUCGGGUUGUAAAGCACUUUCAGUUGUGAGGAAAAGUUAGUAGUUAAUACCUGCUAGCCGUGACGUUAACAACAGAAGAAGCACCGGCUAACUCCGUGCCAGCAGCCGCGGUAAUACGGAGGGUGCGAGCGUUAAUCGGAAUUACUGGGCGUAAAGCGCACGCAGGCGGUUUGUUAAGCUAGAUGUGAAAGCCCCGGGCUCAACCUGGGAUGGUCAUUUAGAACUGGCAGACUAGAGUCUUGGAGAGGGGAGUGGAAUUCCAGGUGUAGCGGUGAAAUGCGUAGAUAUCUGGAGGAACAUCAGUGGCGAAGGCGACUCCCUGG
rnacentral:rRNA from 1 species